rnacentral:rRNA from 1 species
GACGAACGCUGGCGGCGUGCCUAAUACAUGCCAGUAGAACGCACAGUUUAUACCGUAGCUUGCUACACCAUAGACUGUGAGUUGCGAACGGGUGAGUAACGCGUAGGUAACCUGCCUGGUAGCGGGGGAUAACUAUUGGAAACGAUAGCUAAUACCGCAUAAUAUUAAUUAUUGCAUGAUAAUUAAUUGAAAGGUGCAAUUGCACCACUACCAGAUGGACCUGCGUUGUAUUAGCUAGUAGGUGAGGUAACGGCUCACCUAGGCGACGAUACAUAGCCGACCUGAGAGGGUGAUCGGCCACACUGGGACUGAGACACGGCCCAGACUCCUACGGGAGGCAGCAGUAGGGAAUCUUCGGCAAUGGACGAAAGUCUGACCGAGCAACGCCACGUGAGUGAAGAAGGUUUUCGGAUCGUAAAGCCCUGUUGUAAGAGAAGAACGGGUGUGAGAGUGGAAAGUUCACACUGUGACGGUAUCUUACCAGAAAGGGACGGCUAACUACGUG